AUAUUGCACAAUGGGCGCAAGCCUGAUGCAGCGACGCCGCGUGAGGGAUGGAGGCCUUCGGGUUGUAAACCUCUUUCGCCAGUGAAGCAGGCCUGCUCCUUGUGGGUGGGUUGACGGUACCAGAGGAAUCAGCAUCGGCUAACUCCGUGCCAGCAGCCGCGGUAAGACGGAGGAUGCAAGCGUUAUCCGGAAUGAUUGGGCGUAAAGCGUCCGCAGGUGGCAGUUCAAGUCUGCUGUCAAAGACCGGGGCUUAACUUCGGAAA
rnacentral:rRNA from 1 species